UGUACAUUGCUGUUACAGUUCUCUCAGGUUACAAACUCCCUGAAGAGCUCAUACUUUGCACAGGAGGAAAGAGGUUGGAAUAGGGAUACCACCUCACUUUACAAAUCUUGGACUAAAAUCAAGAAAUGAACCAUCAGAGUGAUAUCACUGUCAAGGCUUGGUUUGGUCUAGUCCAACUGAUUGGAACACUCCAUGAACAAAAAAUAGUGCACUUGAUAUUUUAUCUGACAAAGAAUCAACUAGACUUCCUUUUAUCAGUCUUCCUGACUCAUCAGGAGACCUAUGAUGAAGGUGAGGACUGUGAAGAAGUAGGGAACAGGGAAAAGAAGAAAGCUAUAGGGUUGUAACAAAGAGAUAGAAAUCAAUAACUGAGGUCACUUCCAAGAAGGAAUGCCCAGAACAGAUAAAUACAAAUGACUAAUCAAAGAAUAAGAUUAAAAGAAAGAGAAUACAAAGGCUUGAAAACCCAUGAAAAUUUUUGUUCACUGGUUUAUCUAAUUACCAAACAGCUUCAAUACAAUAAAGUCAAUCACAUUUUAA